GCGCGAAGACUUUACAAUGCUGGCAACAGCGAUAAGGGAACCUCGAGUGCCAGGUUACAAAUCUGGCUGUCGAGAUGCCUAAAAAGCAUUUCAUAGCAAGGGCCGGGCAAGACCGGUGCCAGCCGCCGCGGUAACACCGGCGGCUCGAGUGGUAACCGUUAUUAUUGGGUCUAAAGGGUCUGUAGCCGGCCGGAUAAGUCUCUUGGGAAAUCUGGCAGCUCAACUGUCAGGCUUUCAGGAGAUACUGUCUGGCUCGAGGCCGGGAGAGGUGAGAGGUACUUCAGGGGUAGGGGUGAAAUCUUGUAAUCCUUGAAGGACCACCAGUGGCGAAGGCGUCUCACCAGAACGGACCUGACGGCAAGGGACGAAAGCUAGGGGCACGAACCG
rnacentral:rRNA from 1 species